GCUCACUCUUUUCCUCUAACCAGCCCACUCGCCUCCUUUUGGUCUCUCUGUCUCCCCACUCCGCAUGGGUACCAAGAACUUUGUGGGAGAGGAUGGCAUAGCCCUCCCAGUUGUCUUUUGCUGAAGAAUGUUCCUGAAUCAAGACAACCUCUUGCCUCUCUCCCUUGCCUCCUUCUCCAGGAAUGUGAUGGAGGAAGGACUCUAAGGGAAAAGGUCUCUUUUGCCAAAGAAUAACAACAAGAAGGAUGACAGUUGGAGUACAAUGCUGCCCUCUUCAUGCAGGGUGAUAAGGCUCAACCUCUACCAGUUGACAGGAGCAGACAGAAGCAAAUCCAGUUUGUUUCAGCUCAUAUCCUCUCCCAACUUUAUUCUGAAAACUUUUAUGCCUGAGUUGGGAGUGUUUGUGUCCUCCCAAAUUCAUCUGUUAAAAUUCCAGACUCUUGGGCUGGGAAGGUGGCUCAGUGGUAGAGUGUUUGCCUUGCAUGCAUGAAGCC